rnacentral:rRNA from 1 species
CGGGUGGAUCCGCAAAGUCGGCUUGCGAAAUUCAGCUCGGAAGGCUGGUGCGGGCGUCUUGUUCGAGAUCUCUUUCGUGGACUCGCCAGGCGUUCGGCUGCCGGUCUGACGUGUGCACUUUUCGCGGGCAGAGCGCCACGACCGGUUCUCGGGCAGUCAGAAGGCGGCGGGGAAGGUAGGCGGGCGCUUCGGUGCUUGCUGUUAUAGCCUCGCCUGUCCUGAGCUGCACCGCGGGGACCGAGGAGCCGCCGCUCGGCUCGUAGCUACCCUGCUCUCCCGGGGCGGAUUCGACUGGCAGGGACUGGGCAACCGUGUCUGCCGACUGCCCUCCGGGACAGAUCGGGGGUGUACCGUUAGCUGGCCGGGCACAGGGUCGGUGGCGAAUCGGUCGGCACUCCACCCGACCCGUCUUGAAACACGGACCAAGGAGUCUAACAUGCGCGCGAGUCGUUGGGUUGUACGAAACCCGAAGGCGGAGUGAAAGCGAGGGCCGUUCUAGCGACGUGCUCAGGUGGGAUCCCUGCUCCUCCCGGGUUGCGGGGCGCACCACCGGCCCGUCUCGUUCGCGCUGUCGAGGAGGCGGAGCAAGAGCGUGCACGUUGGGACCCGAAAGAUGGUGAACUAUGCCUGAGUAGGAUGAAGCCAGAGGAAACUCUGGUGGAGGUCCGCAGCGAUUCUGACGUGCAAAUCGAUCGUCAAACUUGGGUAUAGGGGC